rnacentral:rRNA from 1 species
GGCGAGCGGGUGAGUAACACGUGGGUAAUCUGCCCUGCACUCUGGGAUAAGCCUGGGAAACUGGGUCUAAUACUGGAUAUGACCUUUCUCCUUAUGGGGUUUGGUGGAAAGUUUUUCGGUGUAGGAUGAGCCCGCGGCCUAUCAGCUUGUUGGUGGGGUGAUGGCCUACCAAGGCGACGACGGGUAGCCGGCCUGAGAGGGUGAUCGGCCACAUUGGGACUGAGAUACGGCCCAG